UAACGAAAUAAAUUAAUGUGAGCGGCUUUUCCACCCAAAAAAAAAACAGUAAAGUAGCCUGAACCGCGCACUCGAAAAAAUGGGCAGUAUUGGGAAAAGUUGCUGGCGCAAAAGAAAAUAUGAAAGAAAAUUUCAUUAAGCUCUGGCAGCAGCCAACUUGCUAAAAAGUUAAUCUAGCAAACUUUUUGGACAGCCAAAUUUUUCAGCUGCCAGCAUGUGUGUGUGUGGUGUGUGGUGUGUGCCCCAAAGAUUUCCAUUCACAGAUGAUCUGCUCGAAUGGACGCCAACUUUAUCUGUCUUAGAAAAAAUUAUGAAGAUAUUUUGCAAAAUUUACUGGCUGGCAAGGAUGUGCUCCAUCAAUUUGCUACUCUCUCAAUAGACCAGCUCAUGUGCUGCUGACACAUUCAAUUGAUUAAGCCAAGCCACAACGCCGCCAAGGAAACUUUUCGCCCAGAUCCUGGCUGAAUCCUGGCGAAAAGGAGGUGCGGCGGUGCUCAUUGCAAGGCAAAGUUAAUUUUGAAUCGUUUAUCAAACAGCGUGGAGCUGCAAACUUGAAGUGCAUGUGCUGGCAGGCUGCCAUAUUCGAGUACCUGACUCUAGAAUUUGACUAGAAAAAACUAUAACCUUGUGUGGAAAAUACUGUGCAUAUACGUAGAUGUGGGGGGAAAAACUGGUGAGCUUCAGCUAUUUGUCAAAUUUGACUCGACUUUGGCUGCUCUGGGCUCUGGGCCUGGUGCAAAUUGAUGAAAUGAGUUGUGAAAAUUCACAGAGAACCUACUUAUAUGCCAUAUGCACAUGCACAAGUUAAUGGAAUCAAUGCGGCAGGUAUGAAAGUAAACGGCAUGGAAAAUAAACCAAUGUUAUGCAAACAAA
rnacentral:sRNA from 1 species